CAUCGAGGGCGCGGUGGUGAUGGAGAUGUUGGUGCCUGUUAUUCUUCCAGCCCGAGUGUGACCUACACCCGCUUAUCCGGAGAAGCGUCGGAAGCUCUUCUCCCCUCGUGUUUGUGCAGCGGAGCUCCGGACCCGGGAGUUUCAUUUCGAUCAGAGCUGGGCCAAUUACUGAAGAGGAUCUCUUCUACUGCAUUUAAGCAGCACAAUAAAUUCAAAGAAACUGAAAUUUCCGACAAUUACAGAACAGCACAGUGA
rnacentral:lncRNA from 1 species